GGAGACUCCAGUUCUCUCAAAUAACUGGGUUAUGUAAUCUUUCCUUUCAUCCUGUGCAAUAUCAUGAUUGAUCCAUUUUCUUUUGUAAUUGUUGGUGGAACUCUCUUCUUGUUGGUUGAGAUUAAUAGAACAGUGUAUUUCCUUGGAUUAGAGUGGUUGUGUUGUUAGAAUUCGUAUUUGGCAGAUGAUACCUUAAAAAUGCUUUCUGAUAAAUAUUCACAUAACUUGAUCUUGGUUUCCUUGACUCACAUU
rnacentral:misc_RNA from 1 species